rnacentral:lncRNA from 1 species
UUACAACAUUGAAACUUAAACCUCACUUCCCCAAAUUUUAUAUUUGAAAACCCUAAGAAAUCGGAACCCAAAAUCCCUAGAAAUUGAAGGAGAAUGAACGCAAUCUUUAGAACCGAAAACUAGGUGAAAAAUCCCUUCGGGUUUUGGGGGAACCCUAAUUCCAGGAGAUUCGAAGGAGAAACAAUAGAUUUGUAGAAGAAACGGAAUAAAAGGAGAAAUGGCUCGAAGAACCAAUGGUGGUCUGGAUUUUACUCCGAAUUAUGGUAAUUUUUCUUGUCCAUUGGCUAUAUUUUUGUUAAUUUCGGUGGUGUGAUGUGUGUUUAGUCGUUGAUUGGUUGUUUAGUUUGUUUGUUUUGUGUUUUUUUUGUCUAUAAACAAAUUAAUUAAUGUAGUUGCAAUGGGGGACGAUAGCCUUUUUACAAUGAAAACUAGGCAUGGUGGGAUAAUGAAUCAUAUACCAAAAAGAGAGUAUUUAGGGGGUGCUAUAGACUAUUUUGUUCUUGUUGAUCCAGAUCAAACUAGUUGCUUAAUGUAUGGGGUUUUGUUAAGGAGUUAGGAUACAAUGAUCAUACUACUCUCAAGUUUUGGAUUAUAUAUGAAAAAAACUUCAAUACACAACGUAAACAAAUUUUCACAGAUGGUGAUGUGUUCGAUAUGAGAAAAUAUAUUCCGAAAAUUACAACUAGGAGUAAAUUACAGGUUUGAAAAUUGUGAUUGCACUCUCUCUUUUUUUUUUUUUUUUUUUUUUUGCUAUUACUUUUAAUUAUAGUUAUACUUCAUAAUUUAAAAAGAAAUAUUCUUUAUACAGGUGAGGAGGCCUGAGGUUCAAAAGAACGCAAAUAUGAGAAGGAACACAUGAGCAAUAAU